UACAUACUCCGGUUGAGUUGAGCCAUUGAGUGUAUAUUAUUAUUAUUAUUUUUAUUAUUUUUUGAGAGAGAGGAAUGAGUUCACCUGGGCUGCGUGUCUCUUCAGUUUAGUUGCGGCUUCUUUUCUUGUCCAGCUCCGGUGUAACAGGCAGCCACCCUACGUGGUUAUGUUUCUCUCUAGUAUCGGCCGGAGAGGAACGGCCGAACGGGAUAUAUUGGAAUCAAAUCAUGCGCAUGCAUGGCUAAUAAAGCAUGUAAUCAUCCUAUAUAUUUAUUUGAG
rnacentral:lncRNA from 1 species